rnacentral:rRNA from 1 species
GUUAGGAAUAUUGGACAAUGGGCGCAAGCCUGAUCCAGCCAUGCCGCGUGAGUGAUGAAGGCCUUCGGGUUGUAAAGCUCUUUAGUCCACGAAUAUAAUGACUGUAGUGGAAGAAUAAGCCCCGGCUAACUUCGUGCCAGCAGCCACGGUAAUACGAAGGGGGCGAGCGUUAUUCGGAAUCACUGGGCGUAAAGCGUGCGUAGGCUGUUUUGUAAGUCAGAAGUGAAAGCCCAGGGCUUAACCCUGGAAUUGCUUUUGAAACUACAAGACUCGAAUUCGGGAGAGGAUAGCGGAAUUGUCAGUGUAGCAGUGAAAUGCGUAGAUAUUGACAGGAACACCAGUGGCGCAAGCGGCUAUCUGGACCGAUAUUGACGCUGAGGCACGAAAGCGUGGGGAGCAAACAGGAUUAGAUACCCCGGUAGUCC